CCUGACCUAAAUGAUGUCAAAACGUCAACAUGGCAGCUCCAGUAACAGGGAUACUUUGGCUUCACUUUUGAUACACAUGGAAGGAAGAGGAGACGCGUCUUUCAUCUAUAUGGACAAACUAGAAAACUUUGAGGAGCGCAGUGUGAUGGAGAGACCGAGGAGAGACCGAGGAGAGACAGAGGAGAGACCGAGGAGAGACAGAGGAGAGACCGAGGAGAGACAGAGGAGAGACCGAGGAGAGACAGAGGAGAGACAGAGGAGAGACCGAGGAGAGACCGAGUGGACACUAACGAGGUGCAGAGAUAUGAUUAGCUAAAGGUAGCUCUGCAGAGCUUUGAGAGUGAGCAGAGACACCUGCAGCAGAUUAAGGAGGACGUCACGUCACGGUGCACCAGAAUGACGCUCAGACAGAUCGGAGUCUGCUGCUAGGACGCCUGCGGCGGAUGAGCCUGUUUGGCGGGGCCUGUUUUACCAUGGCGACCCUGUUCAUUUGCUGGCGGAGCCCUGGGGGGAGGCAGAGAGGAGCGAGGUCAAGAGGAAUUGGAAAUCUGAUCCUCCUCCAAAAACAGUGAAAUGACAUUCCAAUAACCCUGAGAUCCUCGCCUGGACGUGCCUCGGAUAAUGGCCUGGGGCCACGGUAUGUGUGUGGGUGGGUGUGUGUGUGUGUGUGUGUGUGUACAUGCAUGUGUAUGCUUGAAUUUACAUCUUGUGUAUAUGUAUACGUGUUGUGAGACGUACAGUGGUACAGUGGUGCUCUAUAUGAUAUCCAGAGC